rnacentral:lncRNA from 1 species
CAGAGGAAAGGCUGAAGGUUGAGUUGAUUACCAGUAGCUCACGAUAUAAUCAUUCAUGCCUACAUAACACAGCUUUCAUAAGAACCCAAUAGGACAGGGUUCAAGGACCCUCUAAAGAAUGCCACACCUAUAGAGGCAUGGAAACUCUUUGCCACUUUCAUCUGACUAUUGAUCUAUAUCCUUUGUAAUGCCUCUUAUAAGAAAUGGGCAGAUUCUAGCAGUGUUUGUGAGAAAAACUGAUGGAUCCUGCAGAUUAACUAUGGACAGCCAAAUAUUGAGUAAAGUGAUGUCUACAACAGCAUCAGCUAUGCCUGAUAUGGUGUUAAUUCACAUUGUGAAGUUCCAAAAUCAGAAGAUGAUACAGAAAGAUUGCUCUGGUUGCCUGGUUUCUGAAGAAAUCGUGUACCCUGUCUGGAUAGUGUCUUACUUCCUAUCCACAAAGUUGUGAAAUAAUCUGGAAUUAAAUGGCAACCUAAACAACCCUAGAGUUGCCUGAACACAGAGCCAUUGCUGUGUUGAUCAUUAUAGCAGUCCUCAAUAGGAAAAAGAUGCCUCCCUGGUCGACCUUCCUGGAAAGUAUGCAUAUCAUUACUGCUUAGAUUUUGUUGGAGAGAAAUCACACUACCAUCAAAGACAACGGGUCAAAAAGAAUGCCGUCCUAAGCUGAGAAGCCAUCUUCCUAACGACAGCCAUGUAAUAUGAAAGGGAAAAACACACUGUUAUUGAAGAACUUAUCAGCUAUGUCACAUCUUCCACACAAAUACUCAGGAAAGUUAAAAGAAAAUUUUACCUCGGACACAGUUGAUGAUUGCUAAAGUCCUAUUGCAUGCUUUAAGAUGCCUUGCGUUUGGUGAAUUGAAGCCUGAUAUGUCAACAUACUCUCUGUAAACACAGCAGCACAGAGGGCAAAGAAACACUUAUCCAGCACCACAGCUAGGACAAAAGGAAUUAUUUUGACAGUAAAUGGACUUGCAGCUUAAGU